UACAGAGGGUGCGAGCGUUGUUCGGAAUUACUGGGCGUAAAGCGCGCGCAGGCGGAUCCUGCAAGUCCGGAGUGAAAUCUCACCGCUCAACGGUGAGGCUGCUUUGGAUACUGCGGAUCUGGAGACCGGUAGAGGCUGGUAGAAUUGCAGGUGUAGCGGUGGAAUGCGUAGAGAUCUGCAAGAAUACCCGUGGCGAAGGCGGCCAGGCUGGGC
rnacentral:rRNA from 1 species